rnacentral:rRNA from 1 species
GACGAACGCUGGCGGCGUGCUUAACACAUGCAAGUCGAACGGAAAGGCCCUGCUUUUGUGGGGUGCUCGAGUGGCGAACGGGUGAGUAACACGUGAGUAACCUGCCCUUGACUUUGGGAUAACUUCAGGAAACUGGGGCUAAUACCGGAUAGGAGCUCCUGCUGCAUGGUGGGGGUUGGAAAGUUUCGGCGGUUGGGGAUGGACUCGCGGCUUAUCAGCUUGUUGGUGGGGUAGUGGCUUACCAAGGCUUUGACGGGUAGCCGGCCUGAGAGGGUGACCGGCCACAUUGGGACUGAGAUACGGCCCAGACUCCUACGGGAGGCAGCAGUGGGGAAUAUUGCACAAUGGGCGGAAGCCUGAUGCAGCAACGCCGCGUGCGGGAUGACGGCCUUCGGGUUGUAAACCGCUUUCGCCUGUGACGAAGCGUGAGUGACGGUAAUGGGUAAAGGAACACCGGCUAACUACGUG